rnacentral:rRNA from 1 species
UACGAAGGGGGCUAGCGUUGCUCGGAUUGACUGGGCGUAAAGGGCGCGUAGGCGGUUCGUACAGUCAGACGUGGAAUUCCUGGGCUCAACCUGGGGGCUGCGUUUGAUACGUGCGGACUUGAGUGCGGAAGAGGGUCGUGGAAUUCCCAGUGUAGAGGUGAAAUUCGUAGAUAUUGGGAAGAACACCGGUGGCGAAGGCGGCGACCUGGUCCGAUACUGACGCUGAGGCGCGAAAGCGUGGGGAGCAAACAGG